rnacentral:rRNA from 1 species
CUACGGGUCGCUGCAGUGAGGAAUAUUGGUCAAUGGGCGCAAGCCUGAACCAGCCAUCCCGCGUGGAGGAAGACGGCCCUAUGGGUUGUAAACUUCUUUUCAAGGGGAAGAAUUGUCCCGACGUGUCGGGGCUUGCCGGUACCUUUGGAAUAAGCAUCGGCUAACUCCGUGCCAGCAGCCGCGGUAAUACGGAGGAUGCGAGCGUUAUCCGGAUUUAUUGGGUUUAAAGGGUGCGUAGGCGGAUCGGUAAGUCGGCGGUGAAAUGCCAUGGCGCAACUAUGGAAUUGCCGUUGAUACUGUCGGUCUUGAAUAUGGUCAAGGUAGGCGGAAUGUGUAAUGUAGCGGUGAAAUGCUUAGAUAUUACACAGAACACCGAUUGCGAAGGCAGCUUGCUGGGCCAGAAUUGACGCUGAGGCACGAAAGCGUGGGGAUCGAACAGGAUUAGAUACCCCAGUAGUC